rnacentral:rRNA from 1 species
GACGAACGCUGGCGGCGUGCUUAACACAUGCAAGUCGAACGGAAAGGCCCUGCUUUUGUGGGGUGCUCGAGUGGCGAACGGGUGAGUAACACGUGAGUAACCUGCCCUUGACUUUGGGAUAACUUCAGGAAACUGGGGCUAAUACCGGAUAGGAGCUCCUGCUGCAUGGUGGGGGUUGGAAAGUUUCGGCGGUUGGGGAUGGACUCGCGGCUUAUCAGCUUGUUGGUGGGGUAGUGGCUUACCAAGGCUUUGACGGGUAGCCGGCCUGAGAGGGUGACCGGCCCCCAUGGGGCUGUGGAUCCGGCCCAACUCCUAAGGGGGGGAACAGGGGGGGAAAAUGCACAAAGGGGGGGAACCUUGUGCCAGACACCCCCGGUGGGGGUGGAGGGCCUUGGGGUGUAAAACCUCUUUCCCUGGGGACGAAGGGGGGGGGAGGGGAUGGGUAAAGAAAGCACCGGCAAAUUGCUG